UGGGGAAUAUUGCACAAUGGGCGCAAGCCUGAUGCAGCCAUGCCGCGUGUAUGAAGACGGCCUUCGGGUUGUAAAGUACUUUCAGCGGGGAGGAAGGCGAUAAGGUUAAUAACCUUGACGAUUGACGUUACCCGCAGAAGAAGCACCGGCAAACUCCGUGCCAGCAGCCGCCGUAAUACGGAGGGUGCAAGCGUUAAUCGGAAUUACUGGGCGUAAAGCGCACGCAGGCGGUCUGUCAAGUCGGAUGUGAAAUCCCCGGGCUCAACCUGGGAACUGCAUUCGAAACUGGCAGGCUAGAGUCUUGUAGAGGGGGGUAGAAUUCCAGGUGUAGCGGUGAAAUGCGUAGAGAUCUGGAGGAAUACCGGUGGCGAAGGCGGCCCCCUGGACAAAGACUGACGCUCAGGUGCGAAAGCGUGGGGAGCAAACA
rnacentral:rRNA from 1 species